AGAAGGGGAUAACAUUUGGAAACAAAUGCUAAUACCGUAUAACCAUGAUGACCGCAUGGUCAUUAUGUAAAAGGUGGUUUUGCUAUCGCUUUUGGAUGGACCCGCGGCGUAUUAACUAGUUGGUAGGGUAACGGCCUACCAAGGUGAUGAUACGUAGCCGAGUUGAGAGACUGAUCGGCCACAAUGGGACUGAGACACGGCCCAUACUCCUACGGGAGGCAGCAGUAGGGAAUCUUCCACAAUGGGCGCAAGCCUGAUGGAGCAACGCCGCGUGAAUGAAGAAGGUCUUCGGAUCGUAAAAUUCUGUUGUUAGAGAAGAAUAUGAGUAAUAGUAACUGAUUAUUCACUGACGGUAUCUAACCAGCAAGUCACGGCUAACUACGUGCCAGCAGCCGCGGUAAUACGUAGGUGGCAAGCGUUGUCCGGAUUUAUUGGGCGUAAAGGGAACGCAGGCGGUUUUUUAAGUCUGAUGUGAAAGCCUUCGGCUUAACCGGAGAUGUGCAUUGGAAACUGGAAGACUUGAGUGCAGAAGAGGAGAGUGGAACUCCAUGUGUAGCGGUGAAAUGCGUAGAUAUAUGGAAGAACACCAGUGGCGAAAGCGGCUCUCUGGUCUGUAACUGACGCUGAGGUUCGAAAGCAUGGGUAGCGAACAGGAUUAGAUACCCUGGUAGUCCAUGCCGUAAACGAUGAAUGCUAGGUGUUGGAGGGUUUCCGCCCUUCAGUGCCGCAGCUAACGCAAUAAGCAUUCCGCCUGGGGAGUACGACCGCAAGGUUGAAACUCAAAGGAAUUGACGGGGGCCCGCACAAGCGGUGGAGCAUGUGGUUUAAUUCGAAGCAACGCGAAGAACCUUACCAGGUCUUGACAUCUUUUGACCACCUAAGAGAUUAGGUUUUCCCUUCGGGGACAAAAUGACAGGUGGUGCAUGGCUGUCGUCAGCUCGUGUCGUGAGAUGUUGGGUUAAGUCCCGCAACGAGCGCAACCCUUGUUGUCAGUUGCCAUCAUUUAGUUGGGCACUCUGGCGAGACUGCCGGUGACAAACCGGAGGAAGGUGGGGAUGACGUCAAGUCAUCAUGCCCCUUAUGACCUGGGUGACCCAGGC
rnacentral:rRNA from 1 species